rnacentral:rRNA from 1 species
UACGGAGGGGCUAGCGUUGUCCGAAGUUACUGGGCGUAAAGCGCGCGUAGGCGGGUUGGUAAGUCCGCUGUGAAAGCCCGGAGCUCAACUCCGGAGGGUCGGUGGAUACUGCCAGUCUUGAAGGUGCUAGGGGGAGAUGGAAUUACCGGUGGUAGCGGAUGAAAUGCGUAGAUAUCGGUAGGAACACCAGUGGCGAAGGCGGUCUCCUGGGGCAUUCUUGACGCUGAGGCGCGAAAGCUGGGGGAGCGAACGGG